rnacentral:rRNA from 1 species
GAUGAGCAUGCGUCCCAUUAGCUAGUUGGUAAGGUAACGGCUUACCAAGGCUACGAUGGGUAGGGGUCCUGAGAGGGAGAUCCCCCACACUGGUACUGAGACACGGACCAGACUCCUACGGGAGGCAGCAGUGAGGAAUAUUGGACAAUGGGCGCAAGCCCGAUCCAGCCAUGCCGCGUGCAGGAUGACGGUCCUAUGGAUUGUAAACUGCUUUUAUACGAGAAGAAACACUCCAACGUGUUGGAGCUUGACGGUAUCGUAAGAAUAAGGAUCGGCUAACUCCGUGCCAGCAGCCGCGGUAAUACGGAGGAUCCAAGCGUUAUCCGGAAUCAUUGGGUUUAAAGGGUCCGUAGGCGGUUUAAUAAGUCAGUGGUGAAAGCCCAUCGCUCAACGGUGGAACGGCCAUUGAUACUGUUAAACUUGAAUUAUUAGGAAGUAACUAGAAUAUGUAGUGUAGCGGUGAAAUGCUUAGAGAUUACAUGGAAUACCAAUUGCGAAGGCAGGUUACUACUAAUGGAUUGACGCUGAUGGACAAAGCGUGGGUAGCGAAC